AAAUGAGUUGAUAACAAAACAAAUUGUCCUCCAACGUUUAAUAUAUAAAUCUGAAAAUUUACAUGGUUCAUUAUUCAGUUCUUAGAACACGAAAAACAACCAACAAUGAAAUUCCUAAUUGUUUUGGCCGCUUUAAUGGCUCUCGCCACAGCCGAGCUCGUCGUAGGACCUAACGCAAGGACUACCAUUACUGGACCUGAUGGUAGUCAAAUUGUAGCUGACGAUUAUAGCGGCUCUGUCGCCAACUCUAACUUGGUGUACACCGCACCAUCAGUGCCGUUCGCCCGCUAUGUUCCCUAUCCAUUAGUGUCAUCAUACUACCCAUAUUACGGAAGAUAUGUGCACCUCGUCUGAGAUUCUCUUGUCAAGUUAAAACGAAAUAAAGCAGUUGUAGCAUGAAA